ACAUGAUUUGAGGACGUAUUACAUGAGCAGCUCAGAAUCUUGAAGGAUUUCUUUGAUCCUAUUUUCUUUGGUUUACAGUACUUCAGUAAUGAUGAAUAGAAACGGUUAGGGGCAUUUGUAUUUGGUCGCUAGAGGUGAAAUUCUUGGAUUGA
rnacentral:rRNA from 1 species